UACGUAGGCAGCGAGCGUUGUUCGGAGUUACUGGGCGUAAAGGGUGUGUAGGCGGUUUUCUAAGUUUUGGUGUGAAAUCUCCCGGCUCAACCGGGGAGGGUGCGCCGAAAACUGGGAGACUAGAGUGCGGGAUGGGAGAGUAGAAUUCCUGGUGUAGCGGUGAAAUGCGUAGAUAUCAGGAGGAAUACCGGUGGUGUAGACGGCUCUCUGGACCGCCACUGACGCUGAGACACGAAAGCGUGGGUAGCAAACAGG
rnacentral:rRNA from 1 species